rnacentral:rRNA from 1 species
GACGAACGCUGGCGGCGUGCUUAACACAUGCAAGUCGAACGGAAAGGCCCCCAUCUUGGUGGGGGUGCUCGAGUGGCGAACGGGUGAGUAACACGUGGGUGAUCUGCCCUGUACUUCGGGAUAAGCUUGGGAAACUGGGUCUAAUACCGGAUAGGACCAUGGUUUAGAGUCUCAUGGUGGAAAGAUUAUUGUUUUGGUGCAGGAUGAGCUCGCGGCCUAUCAGCUUGUUGGUGGGGUAAUGGCCUACCAAGGCGUCGACGGGUAGCCGGCCUGAGAGGGUGGACGGCCACAUUGGGACUGAGAUACGGCCCAGACUCCUACGGGAGGCAGCAGUGGGGAAUAUUGCACAAUGGGCGCAAGCCUGAUGCAGCGACGCCGCGUGGGGGAUGACGGCCUUCGGGUUGUAAACUCCUUUCGUUAGGGACGAAGCCGCACUUUUUUUGGGUGUGGUGACGGUACCUUUGUGAAGAAGCACCGGCUAACUACGUG